UUUAAAAACUACAAAACUCUCCACAUCAUUGUGUAGUAGAAUUGAUACUAUAUUUAUUAAAACAGUUUUCAUGAUUAAAAGUAAAGAUUUCUAGUUGUCCCUAACUUUUGCAUUUAUAUAUCCCAACACUGAAUGAUGAAAUAUUGAUGUUAUCAGCCUUGCCGAAAAGUUCAUUAAUGAAAAGAAAUCUCCGUCCUACAAAAUGCAUACAAUUAUUUUGUUUAAUAAGAUUUUCCACAACAAAUUUAAUAAUAUUUUGGUCUUUCACUAUUAUACAAUCAUCACUAUGGGUAAAUUUACUUCUUUUUUCUUUAUUUCUUAUUUGUAUUUUAAAAUGUUCAAAUUGAAUACACAUAAAUUGUUCAUAAAUUCCUGUUAUAUGUAGUAAAGGUCCAUUAUUAUGUUUUUCUCUAUAAGUGGGAAAAUCUUUUGAGGUAAGUAAAAAUUUUUCAUCACGUGCUGAUCUGUCUUCUGUAAUUCUAUUAUACAUUUCUGUUAUAGCAUAGCGUUCAGAUUUUAAGUACUUUUUUAAUCUGCUUAAAUAGUUUUCAUACCAUAAAGCAUUGAAGUAAUUGAUGUUACCAUAUUUUAGUACAUCAUUGGGAAGAUGAAGUAAGGAAUGUACAUUAUAUGAUAUUAAAAAUGGCCUGUAAAUUAUACCAAAUGUUUGAAACAUCAUUUUCUUUUUUUUCUAUUGCUUUUGGUGAUACAAGGAUUUGCAUUUAUGUGUGAUAUACUUAUAUAAAAUAAUUGUAUGUUGUAGAAUAGUAUUGAUACGAUCACAUUUGCAUGUGCCCAUAUCUCUGUCUCCCAUAACAUCGUUGUACCGUUUAAUAGACAUAUAUAUAUAAUUAACACAGUGACAUACAACAAUACUAACAGGAGGGCGGACUGCACACAUAAACACUUUUUGCAAUUCACGGCCAAUGUGCCAUAUUAAGAUAUCCCUAUCGACAGUUGACAUUUUACCAUCUUCGCGAUCACUACUUUUGCAUGAUAAUUAACUUAACUUCGCUAUCCCGUAUAUUAUAGUGUGUGUGUGUGUCGCCGUCAGCUCCCUGUUGGAUUAAUCAUCUCUAGGUGUCCAGCAGGUUGUAUUAUCCAUUUAAUAUUUCAAUUGUUAAUAUUUAUUUAUAUCGUUGUUAACCUAAAGUGUUAUAUAUAUAUAUAUUGUAGUGCGACCCUUGGUAGUUCCUCUAAGGGAAUAUAAAUUAAAUAGGAAACUUCAGUACCUAAGGUAGAUAUAGCCUAGCCAGCUAUCCCCCGUUGGUCCCUUAGAAUACUGUCGACGGGCAUUUAGGUUAAACCCCUAAAUAGCGACGUAACAGUAUUAUAAAUUUUUUUCUGUAUUUUUUUUAAAGAAACAUUUGAAGAAGGUAAUACAGCAUUGAGCAACUACACCUCAGAUAAGUCUCACAUAAAACUUAAUAAACGUUUAAUAGUUCCCAAUAAAUGUUAAUUAAGUUCUGAUGAUGAACAGGUUUUUAAAAAGAUAAAAAAUACAAAUGCAUUUUCAAUGCCAGAUAUGCCAACAUAAGAAUCUUUUGAUAAUGAAAAAAAUUUGCAUCUGAAUUUAGAUUUAAUAGCAUUGAAAGACUGUUCCAAUAAUCAAGAUAAUUUCAUUAUAGUUAUUUCACAAGUCAAUACUGGAAAUGUAUGCUUUUACCAAUGUAAUAAAGUAUAAAUUUUUUUUUAGUUUUCGGUAGUUUACAAAUUUUUAUUUAAUCGAAAGCUAAAUUUCUAGGGCCUCACAUUUUUUUUUUCAUAACCUAAAGCCUUAGUGUUACUCUGUUUAUUAUAAAUAUUAUGUGUACUAUGGUCAAUGGUGGGGAGGGUUAUAGCCUUAUCAGCUACCUGUGUUAUAUUCUUACUACUAAUAAUAAUAAUUAUAAAUUUAAUUAAUUAAUUUCUCAGAUGUUGUUUAUAUUUUACAAAAUAUCACAGAAACAGAAUAUGAGACAUACUUAGGUCAGUGGCUCAGACAAGACAGCAACAGAAAAAAUUAAAAAAAAAACCUUAUAAUUUGAUAUAUAAAUUAUUAUUAUUAUUAGGGAAUAUUUAUGUAUCAUUAAUUUGUUAAUAUUAUUUAUUAAUAAAAAAAAUUCAAGAACAUUA